rnacentral:rRNA from 1 species
AACGAACGCUGGCGGCAUGCCUAACACAUGCAAGUCGAACGAAGCCUUCGGGCUUAGUGGCGCACGGGUGCGUAACGCGUGGGAAUCUGCCCUUGGGUUCGGAAUAACAGUUAGAAAUGACUGCUAAUACCGGAUGAUGUCUUCGGACCAAAGAUUUAUCGCCCAAGGAUGAGCCCGCGUAGGAUUAGGUAGUUGGUGGGGUAAUGGCCCACCAAGCCGACGAUCCUUAGCUGGUCUGAGAGGAUGAUCAGCCACACUGGGACUGAGACACGGCCCAGACUCCUGCGGGAGGCAGCAGUGGGGAAUAUUUGACAAUGGGCGAAAGCCUGAUCCACCAAUGCCGCGUGAGUGAUGAAGGCCUUAGGGUUGUAAAGCUCUUUUACCAGGGAUGAUAAUGACAGUACCUGGAGAAUAAGCUCCGGCUAACUCCGUGCCAGCAGCCGCCGUAA